rnacentral:lncRNA from 1 species
UUGUUGAGAAUUCCAUCAAUGAACUUAUAGAAGAGGUUAUGAAUGAUGAGGGACAUGGGGAGCACGUGAUUGAUGAGGUGGAGGAGGUGAAUGAGACUGUUUUGGAAGUUGUAGAGGAGAAUGGGUCACAUCCACAAGAUCUUUCUAUGACUAAUAUUUUUAUGCCUAGUUCAUUUGUUCUUGAUGUGCAGGUUGUUGAUGAAAACAUUCAUGACGAAAGUUUUAUCCUAUUUCCACCUAUUCAAAAG